GGCCUUGACAUACUAAGAACUUUCCAGAGGAUGGAUUGGUGCCUUCGGGAACUUAGAUACAGGUGCUGCAUGGCUGUCGUCAGCUCGUGUCGUGAGAUGUUGGUUAAGUCCCGNAACGAGCGCAACCUUUUCCUAUUUGCCAGCGGGUCAUGCCGGGAACUUUAAGGAUACUGCCAGUGACAAACUGGAGGAAGGCGGGGACGACGUCAAGUCAUCAUGGCCCUUACGGCCAGGGCUACACACGUGCUACAAUGGUCGGUACAAAGGGUUGCUACCUCGCGAGAGGAUGCUAAUCUCAAAAAGCCGAUCGUAGUCCGGAUCGCAGUCUGCAACUCGACUGCGUGAAGUCGGAAUCGCUAGUAAUCGCGGAUCAGAAUGCCGCGGUGAAUACGUUCCCGGGCCUUGUACACACCGCCCGUCACACCAUGGGAGUUUGUUGCACCAGAAGUAGGUAGUCUAACCGCAAGGAGGACGCUUACCACGGUGUGGCCGAUGACUGGGGUGAAGUCGUAACAAGGUAGGCGUAGAUGA
rnacentral:rRNA from 1 species